AAGGAUAUGAAUGGAAGAGUAAACAGUGGACACAUUGACUAUCCAGAGAAUUCUGCAAUUCCAGGACAGUUCGUGCUGAUGGAGGACAAUAGAAAGAUCUCAGCCAUUGUGCCAGCUGUCUGACACUGAGAAGGAGGAAGCUCGAUUCAAGUCACCAGCAGAAAACAGAGUGGCCUUCAUGUCUUUUCUCUCAAGGUUCUGUAGCUUGCCAUAGCGGAAACCUGAAUCUUGUGAAAUGGAGAUGGGCAAUACAGGCAAUGGAUCCUUCAGGUCUCCUUCUUCCAAGCAAAUGUAGCCCUGGGAACACUUUCAUUGAAAAGAAAGAAGAGACAAGGUGACUGGUGACUGAUGAUACAAAAUCAGAAUAGGGGUAUUGGUAUUUUAUCCUCUGAUAUGUCAGUCUUCUGUACUUCUUGGUGAUACUACUAAUCAGGUGGGACUGCUGUUGUCCCAUAUACUGCAUUUGUAUGACUCAGAAAAAGAUGACCAUUCCUUCAGGAAGAAUCAGCCUUGGGCAUCUAGUUUGAGGAGGAGAGCACGGGCUCAAUUUCUAUUGCAGUGACUAGCUCCUCCAACCCAAACCAGCUACUCUUCUCCAGUGAACAACCUGAACAUCCACACAUGGUGGACCUGUGAACAGACCUUUGUUUUACAAGUCGCUGUGACUGAAAUGGCUGUGAAAUGAGGACUAAACUGACCGCAAGCAUUGUGCACAAUGAGGUAUACUUAAGGGUAUGUGUGUGUGUGUGUCCUGGUAAAUAACUGUGAAUUGCCAAAGAUGUCUACAGAAGUCCAAGGUGGGUAACAAGAAUGAGAACCAACAAAGGCAGCAUCUCCUAAAACGUGUUUACCAGGACCAACUUACCAGGAGAUAAUGAAAAAGCAAGAGGUGGACCUCAAGUCAUUAGGAGAGAAGAAAAUUAAAACCAGACGAUUGGCCCACUGGUGAUAAGUUGCCUGGAAUAAUCAGAGAAUUUGAAGGCUGGCUUGAUUAUCCCUGGAAUCUGGCCCAAUUCUGGUUUACAGCAAAUGUUAUUAACUAGGGAGUCCAUCAGUGACCUUCAGGGGACCUCUGAACCUCCUGAAAUUACAGUAUUAUUUUGCAUAUAUGUGUGCAUACACACUUUUGUUGUGGAGGGUCUUAGCAGUCAUCAGAUUAUCGGAUUAAGAACUGGUCUCAGCCAGGCACGGUGGCUCAUGCCUGUAAUCCCAACACUUUGGGAGGCUGAGGCAGGCAGACCACCUGAGGUCAGGAGUUCGAAACCAGCCUGGCCAACAUGGCGAAACCCCGUCUCUACUAAAAAUACAAAAAUUAGCCGGAUGCGGUGGUGGGUGCCUGUAGUCCCAGCUACUCAGGAGGCUGAGGCGGGAGAAUCAUUUGAACCCAGGAGGUGGAGGUUGCAGUGAGCCAAGAUCCUGCCAGUGCACUCCUGUCACCUGGGCGACAGAGCGAGACUCCGUCUCAAAAAAAAGAACUGGUAUCAAGAUACACAGAUGACCCGGCUGGGUGGGUCAGAGUGAAUUUUGUUAAAGAUGGAAACAUUAUACCAUAAGAUGUCCUGUCAGAAAACAAAGCUAUUUACUAUUAAGGCCAAGAAAGUUGUAAUUUUUCUUGGAAAGAAGCUACUAAUGCCUCAGAAGAACCUUUUUUCUCUUGUAUGGAGUUUGAUCACCUUGCCCAUAGGAAUCCAAUGGUAAUUCUCUGAGAGGCUUGGGUUUUCUGAAUGAGUGUACCUAAUAUUGAAUAAGCAAAGUGUGUUCCUCAUUAGAUGUUCAAACUGAUACCCUAGUAAGUUAUAUUUACAUUCUGUCAACCUCCUUAAGCUUAUAGUAAUUAAUUUUCUCCUUUUUUUGCAAUCAUCCAAAUGAGUGGGUAAGAAUCUGGGCCCUGGAGUCCUUCAAUUUGAGAUGCAAGAUAUGGCUCUUCCAGAUACCAGUUGGAGAGGUUUGUAUGUAAUUUUAUCACCCUGAAUUUCAGUUUCAGCACUUGGUAAAAUGGAGAUAAUAAUAGUAUUUACCGUAUAAAUACUGUGAGGAUAAAAUAAUCCAAUUAAUCCAUGUUAGUCACAGUGUUUGGCAUAUACUAAGUGCCUGAUACAGGUUAGAAUGAGACUUUACUCCCUGCUUCCCUUUUUAAAUUUUGUUUUUACUUUGUAUUUUUUUAAUUUAGAUAUAAUUUACACACAGUGAAAUUCACAGAUUUUAAAUGCACAGUUCAAUACGUUUUGACAAAUCCAUGCCUCUUUUUGAUAAAAGCCUCAUGCCCUUUCUAUUCCCUAUAUUCUAAAGUUUUUUGUUUUCCAAAUGCUGAAUUAUAUUACAAUAUAUAAUCUAUCCAUGAAAAAUCUUCACCCCCCUACCACCAGCAUCCAGAUUCUAUUUUUUUCUUUCUUUUUUCCCCUCAUCUUAAGGUCUGCUUCUAUAGGUUCUAAAACAGCUCCUCCCCACCCCCAGCCAAAUUUAAAACCUAGAAGGACCUUGGGACAGUCAUUUUGCCGCUUUCCUGCAUCUUGGAAAGUCUAUAGAUAAAAUCCAAUUGGUUUUAUUUUUAGAUCUCCAGGGAAAGUUUUUCUGCAACCUCUCUCAGUCACCUGUUUCAGCGCUUAGCAACACUUAACAUUAGAAAGCUCUGUCUCUGUGUGUCCCUGGCUUUUAAAUGGGUAAUAACCACUAAUGUUGAUACAAUGCUUUAGCAAGAUCCAUGAAAUGAGAUAAGAAAGGAGGUAGAGUGGAGUAAACCUGGCCACAUAAAUGAGUGCAUGUUUGUCCUUGUUGAGAAUGGCAGGAUUUGACCCAACUGAGAUUGUGCCCAGGCAGA